CAGCCCCAAGCUCGCGACGAGGUUCCGAUUAGGCCUAUGGACUUGGUUUGGGAGAAAAACCACAAGGCAGAUGUCAGAACAAGAA